rnacentral:rRNA from 1 species
GACGAACGCUGGCGGCGUGCCUAAUACAUGCAAGUAGAACGCUGAAGAGAGGAGCUUGCUCUUCUUGGAUGAGUUGCGCACGGGUGAGUAACGCGUAGGUAACCUGCCUUGUAGCGGGGGAUAACUAUUGGAAACGAUAGCUAAUACCGCAUAACAAUGGAUGACACAUGUCAUUUAUUUGAAAGGGGCAAUUGUUCCACUACAAGAUGGACCUGCGUUGUAUUAGCUAGUAGGUGAGGUAAUGGCUCACCUAGGCGACGAUACAUAGCCGACCUGAGAGGGUGAUCGGCCACACUGGGACUGAGACACGGCCCAGACGCCUACGGGAGGCAGCAGUAGGGAAUCUUCGGCAAGGGGGGCAACCCUGACCGAGCAACGCCGCGUGAGUGAAGAAGGUUUUCGGAUCGUAAAGCUCGGUUGUAAGUCAAGAACGGGUGUGAGAGUGGAAAGUUCACACUGUGACGGUAGCUUACCAGAAAGGGACGGCUAACUACGUG